AAAACAUGUCUUAUUGAUAAUAAUUUUAAGUCAAUCUGCCCAAUGAAUUAGAUUUUUAAUGGCUGCAGUAUAACUGACUGUACAAAGGUAGCAUAAUAAAUUGAUUUUUAAAUGAAAUCUGGAAUGAAAGGAUUAAUGAAAUAUGUACUGUCUCAUUUAUAUAAUAUGAAUUUAAAAUUUUAAUAAAAAUGUUAAAAUUUUUUUAUGGGACGAUAAGACCCUAUAGAAUUUUAUAUUAACUUUACCUAGCGGUUAAUGCUGGUUUUUUGUUAAUAUUUGGUUGGGAGGAUUAUUAAAUUUAACAAACUUUAUAUCAUUAUAAACUUUGAUUUAAGAAAAUAUAAUGACCUUCAAUUUGAAAUAGUUAGAGUAAAUUACCUUAGGGAUAACAGCGUAAUAUUUUUUUAUAGACCUUAUAGAAAAAAAUGGUUGCGACCUCGAUGUUGAAUUAAGAUAAAUUUUAAAUGCAGGAGUUUAAUAAUUAAGUCUGUUCGACUUUUAAAAUCUUACAUGAUUUGAGUUCAAAUCGACGUAAGUCAGAUU
rnacentral:rRNA from 1 species